AUUAAUACACUAUAAUUUCGCAACGAAAUAUAAAAGCACGAGCGAACGCGUACGGGCUGAGAAUCGAAAAUUUGACCGAUGGAGAGUUUUCUUGGACGGCAGGUGCGCAUGAAAAAAAAAUCUACGCGACAUUUUUUCGGCAUUUCUCGGUCCCGGAAGCCGUACUUCCGAUCAUUUCGCAAAAUGUAUUACGACGUAGUAAUGUGGUACGCGAUCGAAACGUGCGGCUUUACUAUUGAAUUUUCAAUGUUCGUUUUGCGUCUCGCGGAAAAAAUGCGAAACGGCACCCCCGGAGUCGAAUACAAUUUGUUAUAGGUGCGCCGCUUUCGUCCGAUAAUUUACCAUUCUUAUCACUCGCGUGGGUCAUUGCGAACGUUACCGCGUUAACAAUAGUGAUAGCGACGAAUACAAACCGCCCUCGCACGUGCGGAAAACUCUCGCGAGCACCUGUGCACCAGACGAUUGCUACACGGGAUUGGUGACACU